CACAGACAGACACAGAGCGAGACCGCAGCCGACACUCACACGAUUUUGUGACGACUACGAGUGUGCGCCCGCUACGGCGAGCAACAUCACUGCCACAGACCUCAAAGAGAAGGAAGGCGCGUGCACACCCACCCACCCAUACACACAUACACAUCAAGCGGCCCGCGUCCGUGCCUUCGCUCGUUUGCCAUGUCCCUCGACGCCGAUUACGAGGUGGAAAGCUACGCGUUCGUGGCGGGGUGCCGAGUGAAAGUGUACCGCUGCACGCACCGCAGCACCGGUGCCAAGCGCGCCGUGAAGGUGUACCACACCGCAGCGAUGGACAGCCGGCGCGCCGCCAUGGCGGUCGAGGAGGGCACGUUGGCCAAGUCGCUCCCAGCGGCGCCGCAGCUCGUGCGCGUCUUCGACGUCUAUGUGGAGGUGGAGCGCGUGUCGAUUGUGAUGGAGUACAUGGAGCACGGCUCCCUCUACCAACGGAUCACCACCUGCGGCCCUUUGGCGGAGACUGAGGCUCGUGACGUGGCGCGGCACAUUCUCACUGGUCUCGCCCUCCUGCACGCCAACAACGUCAUGCACCGAGACAUCAAGCCUGAAAACGUGCUCGUGCGUACCACCACAGGCAGCAGCACCGGUCUUGGUGGCGCGGCUGCCAAGACCGCCUCUGCUGCGACGACUGUGGUGGCCAUUGGCGACUUCGGCUUCGCCACGCGCCGAAUCCCGCACGACGAGUUCGUCGGCUCCCCGCAAUACAGCGCGCCAGAGUUGGCCCUCGUUGCGCUUCAGCAGCGCUACGGUCACGCCGGUGCCGCGCUGCCCAUCACUACGCGUCCGCUGUACAGCGAAAAGUGCGACAUUUGGUCGGCUGGUGUGGUCGUGUUCGUGGCGCUUACCGGCCUCCUGCCCUUCGACGGCGCCACCCCCGAGGACGUCUUUACGGCGGUGAUACGCAACGCCGUUCCCUUCAACAGGGUGCCGCCCGGCCGGAUGGGGCCCUCUGCCAGGGCGUUCGUCGACGCCCUGCUGACGCCGAACCCGUCAAAGCGGCCAUCGGCCAAGGAGGCACUGCGGCACGCGUGGCUGACCGGCUAGCACGCGCGAUCGGCGGCGUUGCAUGGCCCGCCAGCGUUGUUUCGGGAAGCCACAACACGCGCGCACGCACGCACGCACGUACAACGACCUCGCUUCGUUCUCUUCGCAUUGCCUCGCCUCUGGAACGCCGAGAGGGGGCUGGGAACAGGCCCACCCAAUGGCCUGCGCGUACGUGGGCACGGAGCUACAUACAGGCCACUACACAGUGUCGACAGAGGGCAUCGUGGCGGAUCGCAUGGCACCGCCGACUUCUUCCACCGUUUUCCUAACUCCUCUUUGUGGUGUUCACCACUGCUCGCGUGUGUGGACGUCCUCCCCAUCUCAUCU
rnacentral:misc_RNA from 1 species